AAUUCUAACCCAUACGAUCAGUUCAUCUUUCAAAUAUCUAGGUUUUUUUUUUUAAAAAAGAAAAAGUUAUCGUUGAAUAAAAAUUAUAAAUAGCGAUAGUAUAAUAGCAUGCUCCGUUGUUGGAAAGCAUUAGUAUUGAAGAACCUAACAACGUAGAGACAUGACACGAGGAGGCUUAUUCCAUUUGGUAGCAGAUCGAUGUUCACGUUGGUCAGGAAAUGUCUUCGUUUAUAUAUGCAAAUUAAUAAAGUCUUAGUAAUUCUGCUUCAACUAUAGCCAUCAUAACUGAUGAUGCUGAAAUCUGCACCACCGCCAACUCCACACCAAGGCCCAGUUCCUGGAAUCAUAGAGAAAAAUGGCUUAGAAGCCUGCAGGAAUAUCUCCGGUGCCUAAGAAUGGAGUACUUACUUCCCUUUUGAACUAUGUUCUCUCCAAUCGAUGGUCAUUCUUCCCUCAUACGACCUUGUCACGUGUUGGCUUUGGACUAGGUUGCAUGUGGUUCAUACAUCGAGGUUUGAAUCAUUAAAGGUGAGGGGAGUGUUUAGGUACUUCGCAGCCUGGUUUUUUUUUUUUUUUUUUUUUUUUUUUUUUUUUUUUUUUUUUUUUUUGCGGCGCCCAAAAUGAUGUUCAGCACUGGAAAUGGGCUGUCUGACUUAGGCUUAGGGGGAUAAAAUACAGACUAUUAGUUGCCCCCAAAUCUUGGAGCUGACCAGAAUCAUUGGCCAACGUGACUGAAUUCAAGGUUUUAAUUGCCGCGACUAUGUAUCGGGAUUUGAGACGUUGUCUUUCAAAACAAAUAUAGACUCUUAAGCAACCUCAAUCAAACAGUUAACCGAAUAUGUAAAGCAAUAAAAAUAAAUAACACGUAUAUUUAGUUACAAAGUGGAAACUCUUUGUACCAAAGAGAAAAACCACUCCGGAGCAGCCAAACCCAAGAAAUCAAUUAUUAGUAGAAAUAGUUAAUUACAAGAAGUUCGUCCUCACAACCCUUUGCAGUAGUCACUCUCUUGAAUUCUAACAAGCGCCUACUUGUCUGCCUCUCUCUCAUACCUGUUUGGAGAGUUCUUCUAUUCAUCCUCCUCUCCAGUUAGACUUCAAUGGUUGAACAGUUGAACAACCAAAUACAUGAAAAACUUUAUGAGAGAUACACAUAAAUGUUUAUACCUAAUAAACCUUCUAUUAGCACAAUGGAAUUCUCUACAUAAAUUCUUAAAGAAAAACUAGCUAGAAGCCCCUUUAAAUAGGCUCUGGAAACCUUAAAAUAAAUUAGGAACAGAUUUUUAGUCGGUGGUGUCCGGACAUGUCAUCACAUGUCCGGACAUGUCAUCACAUGUCCGGACAUGUACCAGAAAGUAAACUUUCUGUGAUGCGUGUCCGGACACGUUGCCCUAAUGUCCGAACAUAUGCAUGAAAAAAUUUUGUGUCCACUGUCUAGUCUUUUGUGUCUGGCAUGAUGCAGAAUAGGGACUUUCUGGAACUUGUGUUCGCUGGCUAUUCUGUUGGGCAGCCCAGACAUUCUUGGGAACAUUGACUUUCUGCUAGUUGUGUCCGAACACGACGUCUGGCUAUCCAGACACUCAUCUGGGAGACCGAAUUUUCAGGAGCUGUAAAUUCUAAAGAAUAUUUUCCAAGAUACUGCUAUUUUCUUUCUUGAAUAAUAUUCUGCAAUACUUUCUUUGUUCAA